GAUGAACGCUGGCGGCGUGCUUAACACAUGCAAGUCGAACGAAGCGAUCAGGAGGAAAUUUUCGGAUGGAAUCCGGAUUGACUGAGUGGCGGACGGGUGAGUAACGCGUGGGUAACCUGCCUCAUACAGGGGGAUAACAGUUAGAAAUGACUGCUAAUACCGCAUAAGCGCACGGGGAUGCAUAUCUUUGUGUGAAAAACUCCGGUGGUAUGAGAUGGACCCGCGUCUGAUUAGCUAGUUGGUGAGGUAACGGCUCACCAAGGCGACGAUCAGUAGCCGACCUGAGAGGGUGACCGGCCACAUUGGGACUGAGACACGGCCCAA
rnacentral:rRNA from 1 species